GUCUACGGCCAUGCCACCCUGAACAAGCCCGAUCCCGUCUGAUCUCGGAAGCUAAGCAGGGUCAGGCCUGGUUAGUACUUGGAUGGGAGACCACCUAGGAAGACCAGGUGCUGUAGGCG
rnacentral:rRNA from 1 species